rnacentral:rRNA from 1 species
AUUGAACGCUGGCGGCAUGCCUUACACAUGCAAGUCGAACGGCAGCACGGGAGCAAUCCUGGUGGCGAGUGGCGAACGGGUGAGUAAUAUAUCGGAACGUGCCCGGUCGUGGGGAUAACGUAGCGAAAGCUACGCUGAUACCGCAUACGAUCUACGGAUGAAAGCGGGGGAUCGCAAGACCUCGCGCGAUUGGAGCGGCCGAUAUCAGAUUAGGUAGUUGGUGAGGUAAAGGCUCACCAAGCCGACGAUCUGUAGCUGGUCUGAGAGGACGACCAGCCACACUGGGACUGAGACACGGCCCAGACUCCUACGGGAGGCAGCAGUGGGGAAUUUUGGACAAUGGGCGCAAGCCUGAUCCAGCCAAUGCCGCGUGCAGGAUGAAGGCC